rnacentral:misc_RNA from 1 species
CCCUUCUCACCUACAUCGGCUUCAUCGACGCACUUUUUUCUCGUGUAAAAUCCAGGCCACUUGAAUGGUAGGAAACACGGAGCCCGGUGCAGCCUGCAGAUCUCCCUGGCCACCAGCAUCACCACUUUCCCCUCACACCUCACACCCUGACUGUAUCAAUGACCUCCCCGGCAGCCGCGCCACCGCAGAAUACGGCGGAGUUUUGGAUUAAGCGCCUGCAACUGGUGCCGCACCCGGAGGGCGGCUACUAUUCCGAGGUGGUGCGCAGCGCGCACAAGGUGGACAACGAGGAGGGCAACCGCCGCCACGCCUACACGACCAUUUACUUUCUCUGCACCCCGGAGAGUCCCUCCCACCUGCACCGCCUCUGCUCGGACGAGACGUGGAUGUACCACGCCGGCGACCCGCUGCAGCUGCACGUCAUUCUGAAGGAUCCGCAGGACGAGGACCGCAUUGCCGCACAGCCUCCCGCAGCACCACAAGCGGAGACGGACGGCGCCGAUACGCGACCGAAGUAUCAGGUGUACCGUCGUGUCCUGGUUGGCGCGCGCGUGGAGAGGGGCGAGCUGCUGCAGUACACCGUUCCUGGCGGGGCCAUUUUUGGCAGCUCCGUGGCCGCAGACGGUACGGAUGGGCAGGCCGGCUACUCUCUUGUGAGCUGCAUCGUGAGUCCCGGCUUCGAUUACCGCGAUUUCGAGAUCUUCACGCAGGCGCAGCUGAUGGAGCUGUACCCGCAGCACGAGGCGGUCAUCAAGCAGAUGGCCUACGAGACGCUACCGAAUCAUGCGCGCUUACAGACAACAGGAAUCUAGAACAGCGCGCGAGGCAGCAGAGACGUGAAAGUGGACCGAGAAGGGCGUAACGAGAGAGAUGUAAGAGAUCUAGUCUACAGCUGUGGAUGGCACACACAGACGCACGCGAACACGCAGCGAUGAUGCCCCACCUGCUGCUUCUACUUUGCGUUCUUUCCUGUGAUAAACAAGUGCACCUGUAUUCUUCUUGUAUGUGCACGUGUGUGUAUGAGUGUGCAUGUGCAUCUCUCCCUCCUUCCUUCUCCCUCGCUCUCUGCCCUCUUCGCUAUCUUUCUUUUUGCUUGCUCUCCGUUGACUUGAGCAACCUUGG